GACGUUUCACGUGACGCCACUUUGGCGCCGAAUUGCUCGCCCUUGAGCGCGAAUUUCUUCCACUUCCGCGAAUGAUAAUAUUAUACGGUGAUAUUUUUGCAUAAAGUUUCAUAUUCUGUAGGAAUUUUUCUUUGUAUUAAAGAUGCAGCGAAGUAUAUCGUCCUUCUUUCAGCCAAUGAAGUGUAAGGAGAAGGAUGGCAUGCCCAAGGAGAAAUCUGAGUCAGUUAAAAGCCCCCUCAAGCCUCAGAACAUUGAUCAGGAAUGUGAUUCACCAAUGAAGAUGAGUAAGUGGAGCCGAGCAAUCAUAGACAGUGAUGAUGAAGAGCAGCAGAUGGUAAAAGAAGAGGUUUCCAAACAAAAUGGAAGGCAAACAGCCAUACUAGGCAAAGAGAAGGUUGGUCUUGUUAAGGAUACAGUCAGUCCACUCUCACCAAAGCCCCUUGUUACCCAGACAACCUCUGCUGUUUCAGUAACUUAUGGCAUCCCUGAAACAACUGUUACCCCAAGUUCCACUUCACCUUCCAGCAUCCCAAAACGCAAGACUGCCCGUAAGCAGUUUCCCAAGAGGAAAUUGGACAGCAGGAGUGAUGGAGAGAGAGAAAAGGAGGUGGAAGGAAACAAGACAGAGGGAGGAAAGGAGCGUAAACGAGCAAAAAUAGAAGAAUCUUCUGAAAAGAUGGAGAAUGGUGAAGAGGCUAUGGAGGUGGAGCAAAAGAACAGAAAUACAGUGGAGAAAGAACUACUGAAAGCAAAGGAUGAGGGAAACAUGAAUGUGACUAAUGAGAAGUAUGAAGUGAAUGGGAAGAAUAAAGAAAUGAAAAAAGUAACAAAGGAGGAAAAAUGCAGUCCUGAAAGAGUUAUGAAGAGAAAGAAGGAAGCAGAGGAGGAAAAGAGAGAGGGAUCUGCUAAGAAAAAAUCCAUCAACUGUUUCUUUGCACCCAGAAAAGCUGCAGUGAACCUUGAAAAAUCAGAAGAGAAAAGUGAUGUAGAGAAGAAGGAUGGUGCGAAUGCUGCAGCUGAUACUGCUUCUGAGGAGAAAGAAAAGAAGGGUGAGAAGGAUCUGGAACCUUCAAACCAGAGCCAAUAUGAUCCAUCUAAAGCUCACUACCAUCCCAUUGAUGAUGCUUGCUGGAAGAAGAGGCAGAGAGUGCCAUAUCUGGCUGUUGCUCGGACAUUUGAGAAGAUUGAGGAAGAUUCUGGCAGGUUGAGAAACAUUGAGACUCUGUCCAACCUUCUGCGGUCUGUUAUCCUACUCACUCCAGAUGACCUCUUGUGCUGUGUGUACCUGUGUCUGAAUCAGCUUGGCCCCUCCUACCAGGGGCUAGAGCUAGGCAUAGGGGAAACAGUACUGAUGAAGGCUGUUGCCCAGGCAACUGGGCGUCAGCUGGACAAAAUCAAGACUGAGGCCCAGGAAAAAGGUGACCUGGGAUUAGUAGCCGAGAGUUCCCGUAGUAACCAGAGAAUGAUGUUUGCACCAGCGAAUCUGACUGCAAUGGGUGUGUUCAGCAAACUCAAGGAGAUUGGCAACAUGAGUGGAAACUCCGCAAUGAGUAAGAAAAUUGACAUCAUUAAGGGUCUGUUUGUGGCUUGUCGUUUCUCAGAGGCCAGAUACAUUGUACGGUCACUGGCAGGCAAACUGAGGAUUGGAUUGGCUGAGCAGAGUGUUUUAGCAGCUCUUAGUCAAGCUGUAUGUCUGAGUCCACCAGGCCAAGAUUUCCCACCAGCUGUGAUUGAUGCAGGAAAGGGGAUGAGUGCAGAGAGCAAGAGAGCAUGGCUUGAGAAAAAAGGACUCAUUCUUAAGCAGACUUACUGUGAAAUGCCGAAUUACGAUGCCAUAAUCCCCGUCAUGUUGAAGUUGGGCAUAGAUGAACUGCCUAAUCACUGCAAACUUACUCCAGGUGUGCCACUGCGCCCCAUGCUGGCCCACCCAACUAAAGGAGUAGGGGAGGUGAUGAAAAGAUUUGAUGAAACUGCUUUCACCUGUGAAUACAAGUAUGAUGGGGAGAGAGCACAGAUUCACAUUCUUUAUAGUGGUGAGGUUCGUAUCUUCAGCCGAAACCAAGAGGAUAACACCAGCAAGUACCCUGACAUCAUUUCACGGAUGCCACAGGUAAAGAAGGAAUCUGUGCGUAGCUUUGUGUUGGACUCGGAGGUGGUUGCAUGGGACAGAGAGAAAAAGCAGAUUCAGCCGUUUCAAGUUCUGACCACACGCAAAAGGAAGGAUGUGGAUGCAUCUGAGAUUAAGGUGCAGGUUUGUGUGUAUGCCUUUGACCUGCUGUACUUAAAUGGAGAGUCUCUGGUACGGGAGCCAUUGAGUAAGCGGCGAGCUUUGUUGAGGCAGAGUUUCACGGAGAAGGAGGGAGAAUUUGUCUUUGCUCGUUCGCUUGACUCUGAUAACACUGAAACUAUAGCGGAGUUCCUGGAGCAGUCCAUACGAGACUCUUGCGAAGGCUUGAUGGUGAAGACCUUGGAGAAAGAUGCCACUUACGAAAUUGCCAAACGCUCUCAUAACUGGCUUAAGAGCAGUUGGGGUCCAGGGAAGACUGGAUGAUGGCAGGAAAGACCACCACGAGUGGUUGGCUGAUAACCCAACCCACUAGUCUCUGAGAGACACCUAGUAUUUACCACGAAGUUGAUGAAGAGUGGACAACCCGUAGGCCCUCUGACAGGCGCGGUGAUAGAUGGGCCUAAUUGGACGGAUCCUCCAGAAACCACAGGAAUUCAUAUGGAUAACAAAUGGGGCCUGCGGAUAUGUGGGAGCGGGUGGAGAAAGAUGACCACAUUCAGUCCACUACAAAUCCACCAACUUCUACAAGAACCCCUUCAAACACACCAGGCAGCUGUUAGAGGAGGCAAAGAGUGGGAAGCUGGAAAUGACCAGGGAGAAGCUGGAAGAAUAUAUCGGAAGGCAAUAUAGCGACUCAAGAAAUGAGCCAUUAGUCUCGCCAGGGUAUGUGCCUCAUUAGCCCUACCUGUAUCCCAGUUUAUCAGCCAAUUCAGGAGCACUGGCUUGUGCAACAUUGAAGGAAAGAUGUUCUAGUUGUUGGCAUGGAAAAUAUCCAACUACAUCACCGAGAAUAGCUAUAUUGACACCAGCUGCCAAAAAGUAGGGGUCCCAGGCUUCCCAUGGUGUGUGGAGCAUUCAUCUGUGAUUUGGGAGCAGAUCUAACUGGCCAAGCUUGAAAAGAAAGAUCUUCACAUCCUUUGGCUUGACUUCACGAACGCAUAUGGAUAAGUGCCACAUCAGCUUAUCAACUAUGCCACGGAGUUCUUCCAAAUGUCAGACAGCAUCAGGAGCCUUGUCUCAAAUUACUUCUAGCACCUGCAAAUGUGCUUUUGUUCUCCAGAAUUUCACUACCGGGUGGCAGCCAUUGGAGGUAGGAAUCGCCAUGAGAUGCUCAAUCUCCCCCAUCUUGUUUAUGGCCACCUUCGAGGUAAUGCUCAUCAGAGCAAGACAAAUGGUGGGAGGACUCAGUUUGCCAUCUGGACAGAAACUGCCCCACCUGAGAAGCUGCAUGGAUGAUGUUACAAGCCUCCUGCCGACAGCACCAUGUACAGCUAGGCUGCUGAAAAGGGAGGAUGAACUGAUGUCCUGGGCAAGGAUUAAGAUCAAGCCUGCUAAGUCCUGAAGUCUCUCACUCAGGAAUGGGGUGAGGAAUGACAGCACCGUCUUUCUCGUGGGUGGAGAGAAAAUCACACUGCUGUUUGAGCAAUCCAUCAGAAGCCUUGGGGGACCAUACAUGGCUGAGUUUUCUGACAUUUACAUGGGGAAGAAUGUGCUGAAAGAGCAGUGUUUAGAGAAUUUACUUGUGGUGGUUGGCGAUGCGUGUGACAGUGCAGGUUCAGUAAUAAACUAGUCAAAUAAAAGUUUAUGAAUAAACUAUUUAUUGAAAAGUAACAAGUACCCAAAAUAAAUACAGUGGGGAAAAUAAGUAUUGAACGUGUCAACAGUAAAUAUAUUUUCAAUCGGGUUAUUCACAUGAAAUUUUCACCAGACAUCAGUAUUAACUCAAGAAAUCUGCAAAUAUAAAGAUUUCAUGACGUUAAAGUCCAUAAAUAAAAGUUGUGUAUUAGAGUGGAAUGACACAAAGAAAAAAAAAGUAUUGAACACGCUAAGAAAAUGCAGUUCUCCGAGGUAAGGCAAGGAACCAGCUGAAAUCCGUAAGUAAUUAUACUUCUUAUCUGUGCAAAUUAAUAUCAGCUGGGUUAGUAAAUUGAUGGUCUAUAAAAAGGCUUUUCGUUACCAAGGUGUCACACAAGAAACAACCCAUGAUCGGAAAAAGCAAAGCGCUCUUCAGUCAACUGUCCCAUGGGAGGAGGGAGUAGAAGUUGCCUUUGAGAGGAAGAUGCUGAAAUACUCUGAUCUCGUCACUGAGUGCAAGGAGGCUGGCUGGAAACCACCAUUUACCUGGUAGAAGUUUGAUGCCGUGGCUCUGUUGGAGCAUAAACUGUUUGCCUCCUGAAGGUUACUUGAGUAACUGGAGCAAACCAGCAGAAGGCUCUGAAAGAACUGGCUGAAGAAGCAGAGAAGAGCUUUUGGCUCUGGCUUAAGAAGGAUUAUCUGGAAGGUGUCGGGGACACAGUGGAUCUGUGUGUGAUUGGUGCAUAUCUAGGGAAGGGCAAGAGAGCCGGUAGCUAUGGGGGUUUCCUGCUUGGCUGCUAUGAUGAUGAGAAUGAGGAGU